UACAGGGGGGGCAAGCGUUGUUCGGAAUUACUGGGCGUAAAGGGUCUGUAGGUGGCCAACUAAGUCAGACGUGAAAUCCCUCAGCUUAACUGGGGAACUGCGUCUGAUACUGGAUGGCUUGAGUGUGGGAGAGGAAUGCGGAAUUCCAGGUGUAGCGGUGAAAUGCGUGGAUAUCUGGAGGAACACCGGUGGCGAAGGCGGCAUUCUGGACCAUAACUGACACUGAGAGACGAAAGCCAGGGGAGCAAACGGG
rnacentral:rRNA from 1 species